UUUAAGUGCAACUAUGUGUUUCCGCGCUCAACUUUGAUCAUCUGUCUUAUUUGAAAUUUUUUAUAAUUGUAUUUUUUAUAAGAUGAUAAAAUAUAAAUAGUAUUUUACUCGUGACUUACGCUUUAAAUUUUUUAAAAUUUUUUUAAAUAAGACAGACGAUGAAAGUUAAACGCGAAAAAAAAUCAUGCCUACGCUUGAA
rfam:Oryza rufipogon genomic scaffold, chr01